rnacentral:tRNA from 1 species
AUUCAAUUAGCUUAAUGGUUAAAGCAUUUCACUGUUAAUGAAAUUAUUAUUAGUUCAAAUCUAAUAUUGAUCG